rnacentral:rRNA from 1 species
GACGAACGCUGGCGGCGUGCUUAACACAUGCAAGUCGAACGGAAAGGCCCUGCUUUUGUGGGGUGCUCGAGUGGCGAACGGGUGAGUAACACGUGAGUAACCUGCCCUUGACUUUGGGAUAACUUCAGGAAACUGGGGCUAAUACCGGAUAGGAGCUCCUGCUGCAUGGUGGGGGUUGGAAAGUUUCGGCGGUUGGGGAUGGACUCGCGGCUUAUCAGCUUGUUGGUGGGGUAGUGGCUUACCAAGGCUUUGACGGGUAGCCGGCCUGAGAGGGUGACCGGCAACUUGGGGCUGGAGAGCCGCCCGGGCCUCCGAGGGGGGGAAGCGGGGGGAAUUAUGGAACAAGGGGGGGACGCGUGUGACGGAACCCCCGGGGGGGGGAGGCGGGUCUUGGGGUGGAAACCCCUUUCCGCCGGCGACGAGGGGGGGGUGAGGGUAGGGGAAAAAAAAGCCCCGGCUAACUCGGUC